rnacentral:tRNA from 1 species
GGGGCCGUAGCUCAGUCCGGGAGAGCGCCUCCUUUGCACGGAGGAAGUCAGGGGUUCGAAUCCCCUCGGCUCCACCA